AUUGAACGCUGGCGGCAUGCCUUACACAUGCAAGUCGAACGGUAACAGGUCUUCGGAUGCUGACGAGUGGCGAACGGGUGAGUAAUACAUCGGAACGUGCCCAGACGUGGGGGAUAACGAGGCGAAAGCUUUGCUAAUACCGCAUACGAUCUAAGGAUGAAAGCAGGGGACCGCAAGGCCUUGCGCGUUUGGAGCGGCCGAUGGCAGAUUAGGUAGUGGGUGGGAUAAAAGCUUACCAAGCCGACGAUCUGUAGCUGGUCUGAGAGGACGACCAGCCACACUGGGACUGAGACACGGCCCAGACUCCUACGGGAGGCAGCAGUGGGGAAUUUUGGACAAUGGGCGAAAGCCUGAUCCAGCAAUGCCGCGUGCAGGAUGAAGGCCUUCGGGUUGUAAACUGCUUUUGUACGGAACGAAAAGGCUCUGGCUAAUACCUGGGGCACAUGACGGUACCGUAAGAAUAAGCACCGGCUAACUACGUG
rnacentral:rRNA from 1 species